AACUUUCGACAAUGGAUCACUUGGCUCUCGCAUCGAUGAAGAACGCAGCGAAAUGCAAUAAGUAAUGUGAAUUGCAGAAUUCAGUGAAUCAUCGAAUCUUUGAACGCAUCUUGCGCUCCUUGGUAUUCCGAGGAGCAUGCCUGUUUGAGUGUCAUUCAACUUCUCAACCACAUUCGUUCAUUGAUUGUGGCUUGGAUGGUGGGGGUUUAUUUGCAGGCUUCUUCUGUGAAAACAGAAAGGUCGGCUCCCCUGAAAUGUAUCAGUGGUAUCUGAGGCUAUUGCUAUAGGUGUGAUAAUUAUCUAUGCCCUUGGUAUGCCGCAUGGAACUGCUUCCAACAGAGAUGAUCUUUUUGAUGAAUUUGACCUCAAAUCAGGUAGGACUACCCGCUGAACUUAAGCAUAUCAAUAAGCGGAGGCU
rnacentral:misc_RNA from 1 species